rnacentral:lncRNA from 1 species
CUCUAGUUCAGUGCUAGGGAUGGGUCCUAGGUGUGCAAAGGCAUAUUCUGAUCUUUCAGAAAUUGCUGACAUUCCAAGAUGUGGCCAUUGACUUCACCCAGGAAGAGUGGAGACAGUUGGAGCCUGCUCAGAAAGACCUGUACAGGGACGUGAUGCUGGAGAACUAUGAGAACUUUGUGUCCCUGGGUAAGGAUGGCUUUUCUCUCCUGAAUCAUCUGGGUCCUGCUGUGUUUAUCAUGUGUGAAUUUCAACUUGGCAUGUAGGUCUAUUCUCAUGAAGAGAUGCAAGAUGAAAAGAUUCCUAGUCCUUUGAUUCCAAGAGAUAAGAGUUUCUAUGCCCUCUUUCUGUAUGAAGGGUCUUUGCUUUGUACUACUGGAAGUUUACAGCCCUGCAUUAGGGUCAAAAUGUUUGUGCUGCUCCUAAUGCUAAAACUUCCCACCUGUCCAUCUAGAUCAAAGAUUCUCCAUUUGCAACUCAGUACAAGUCCUCGAACACAUGAAAACUUUUCUUCUUCUUCUUCUUCUUAUCAGGAAGCAUGUUAAGACAAAAGAAUUUUCUCUGAGCCAAAGUCAAACUCUUGGACAUACCCCCACACAUGAUAGAAUCAUAGUGCAGACAGUCAUUCUCAGGGCUUCCAAUUUCCAAACCAGACGUGAUCUCCCAGUUGGAGCAAAGAGGAGCACCAUGGUUCAGAGCACAAGUCCUAAGAAGCACUCAUCUGGAUUCCUUGAUUCAGAAGAAAAGGUACAAAACCAAGCAAUCAACUCCAAAACAGGUUAUUUCUAUAGGAGAAUCACUAAAGGAACAAACCAAGGAUCGUUCUUGGGAUUGUGAUAUCAGGCUGGAGAGGCAGAAGGAUAACCAGAAAAGACAGUCUAGACAAG